rnacentral:rRNA from 1 species
UGGGGAAUUUUGCACAAUGGGGGAAACCCUGAUGCAGCGACGCCGCGUGAUUUAGAAGGCCUUCGGGUUGUAAAAAUCUUUUCUAUGGGAAGAAAAUGACAGUACCAUAGGAAUAAGGACCGGCUAAUUACGUGCCAGCAGCCGCGGUAAUACGUAAGGUCCGAGCGUUGUCCGGAAUCAUUGGGCGUAAAGGGUACGUAGGCGGGUAAGCAAGUUAGAAGUGAAUUCCUCUAUCUCACCUAUAGUAAGCUUUUAAAACUGCUCAUCUUGAGGUAUGGAAGGGAAAGUGGAAUUCCUGGUGUAGCGGUGAAAUGCGCAGAUAUCAGGAGGAAUACCGGUGGCGAAGGCGACUUUCUGGCCAUAACCUGACGCUGAGGUACGAAAGCGUGGGUAGCAAACAGG